CCUACGGGUGGCAGCAGUGAGGAAUAUUGGUCAAUGGGCGGGAGCCUGAACCAGCCAAGUCGCGUGAGGGAAGAAGGUACUGAGUAUUGUAAACCUCUUUUGCCAGGGGACAAAGGCGGCCACGAGUGGCCGUAUGAGGGUACCUGAAGAAAAAGCAUCGGCUAACUCCGUGUCAGCAGCCGCGGUAAUACGGAGGAUGCGAGCGUUAUCCGGAUUUAUUGGGGUUAAAGGGUGCGCAGGCGGCGUGUAAAGUCAGCGGUAAAAUGUCGGGGCUCAACCCCGGCCGGCCGUUGAAACUGGCGUGCUGGAGUUGGAGAGAAGUAUGCGGAAUUCGUGGUGUAGCGGUGAAAUGCAUAGAUAUCACGAAGAACCCCGAUUGCGAAGGCAGCAUACCGGCUCCACACUGACGCUGAGGCACGAAAGCGUGGGUAUCGAACAGGAUUAGAUACCCCAGUAGUC
rnacentral:rRNA from 1 species